rnacentral:lncRNA from 1 species
CUCUGGGCGGGCCGUGGGAGGCUCCCGAGGUGGGGGCCGGGGCGGGAUGGCUGCAGCGGCGGCCGGGGCCGGGAGCGGGCCCUGGGCGGCCCAGGAGAAGCAGUUCCCGCCGGCGCUGCUGAGUUUCUUCAUCUACAACCCGCGCUUCGGGCCGCGCGAAGGACAGGAGGAAAAUAAGAUUUUAUUUUAUCAUCCAAAUGAGGUAGAAAAGAAUGAGAAGAUUAGAAAUGUCGGAUUGUGUGAAGCUAUUGUACAGUUUACAAGGUUGUUCGGAAUCCUAUAAUUGAAAAACAGAGUAAAGAUGGAAAACCAGUUAUUGAAUAUCAAGAGGAGGAGUUGUUGGACAAGGUUUAUAGCUCGGUGCUGCGGCAGUGCUACAGCAUGUACAAGCUUUUUAAUGGUACAUUUCUGAAAGCCAUGGAAGACGGAGGCGUCAAGCUUCUGAAAGAAAGAUUAGAGAAAUUCUUCCAUCGGGAGUGGAUUAGAACAAGAUGACAUGAGAAUUUUAUACAAAUACCUUACCACCUCCCUUUUCCCAAGGCACAUCGAACCUGAGUUAGCAGGAAGGGAU